ensembl:snRNA U6 U6 spliceosomal RNA
GGGCUCACCUCAGCAGCACAUGCACUGAAAUUGGAAUGACACGGAGAAGACUAGACGGCCCCUGCACCAGGAUGACAUGCAAAUUCCUGACCUGUUCCAUUUUUUU